ACCCGCGUGGUAUGGUGUUGUGAAAUCAACGAAUUUACAGCCCCAAACCAACCAACCACACACGGCCAACGCGGGGCGGUUCUGAUAAAACAAAACCGUAAAGUCAAGAUAAGCCCCGAAGGUUGGCUUCCCCACUUUUUAGGGUGUGGGUAGUGAAAAUUGAUUUUUUUUGUUUGUUUUUUUGUGUACUUUGCAGGGAUUAUGUCAAUUACGAGUUGGAGAAUAACGCCGUCAACCCUCAUAGAAAUUGCAAUUUCCGUCAACGAAAGCGUCCCAAGACGCCGUCCGAAUGGGCACUUGGCGCAAAUUUAUUUACCAACAAAUGGUUGAAAGAGAGUGCGCGGUUGUUGUUCUUUGCGCCAAACGAUCCCGCAGAGAUGCUAUCAUAAAUAAACAAAAUUGUGCGCCACAAAUAUAAAUACCGCGCUGUCUAAUUAGCAAAGUACUCUUAAACGCCAAACCCCGAUCUUCUGGGGAUCAUCUACUGCGGCGUGGACGCGGAACGAGAAGGUCGGCGGAACGGGUUCAAGGCCUGGGCAGAUGAUGCCGAUGACGAAAACUCUGCGUCGAUGGUGCUAAUUGGAAAAUAAUGCGAUGGCAAAUUUGUCGGAUUUUUUCCACCCCAAGAUGGUCACCUUCAAAAAUUUGCCACAACAUUCCUGUCCCCGUCAAAGCCCUGAUUUCGAGCGAGAUUUCUUCCGCUCGCGAUUCAAGAUGGACUGUCGUAGGCAGAGUUUUAAUUCAGGCGCACUCCUUGCCCGAAUCUGCAGCAUUUGUUGUUGUGCCGAGACCUGUGCCGCUAUCGAUUUUAUGCAAUCGAUUCUGGGCAGACAGGCGGCAUCGCCACUAGGAGAAAGGGCAGCUGAUUCUACCGACAACUGGGUCAGCGCAGCAACACUUACCAUUCA